UUUGGCUCUUGUCUAUGUUCCUUGGAACAGGACGUCACAGAGGGUGAGAAUCCCGUGCGAUGAGAUGCCCAAUUCCAUGUAAAGUGCUUUCGAAGAGUCGAGUUGUUUGGGAAUGCAGCUCUAAGUGGGUGGUAAAUUCCAUCUAAAGCUAAAUAUUGGCGAGAGACCGAUAGCGAACAAGUACAGUGAUGGAAAGAUGAAAAGAACUUUGAAAAGAGAGUGAAAAAGUACGUGAAAUUGUUGAAAGGGAAGGGUUUGAGAUCAGACUUGGUAUUUUGUAUGUUUUACUCUCGGGUGAGGCCUCUGCAGUUUACUGGGCCAGCAUGCAGUUUGGAUGGUAGGAUAAUGACAUUGGAAUGUGGCUCUUCGGUAU
rnacentral:rRNA from 2 species